AAUCAACGCUGGCGGCGUGCCUAACACAUGCAAGUCGAACGCGAAAGUGGAGCAAUCCAUGGGUAGAGUGGCAAACGGGUGAGUAACACGUGGGUGACCUGCCUUCGAGUGGGGGGAUAACGUUUCGAAAGGAACGCUAAUACCGCAUAACAUGCUGUCUUUUAACAGAUGGACAUCAAAGCCGGGGACCGCAAGGCCUGGCGCUUGAAGAGGGGCCCGCGCCUGAUUAGCUAGUUGGUGGGGUAAUGGCUCACCAAGGCAACGAUCAGUAUCCGGCCUGAGAGGGCGGACGGACGACACUGGGACUGAGACACGGCCCAGACUCCUACGGGAGGCAGCAGUGGGGAAUUGUUCGCAAUGGGCGCAAGCCUGACGACGCAACGCCGCGUGGAGGAUGAAGAUCUUCGGGUCGUAAACUCCUUUCGAUCGAGGCGAAUGGCCCUUGGGCUAAUACCCUGAGGGAGUGACGGUACCGAGAGAAGAAGCCCCGGCUAACUCCGUGCCAGCAG
rnacentral:rRNA from 1 species